rnacentral:rRNA from 1 species
UACGUAGGGGGCAAGCGUUGUCCGGAUUUAUUGGGCGUAAAGAGCGUGUAGGCGGCCAUGCAGGUCCGUUGUGAAAACUCGAGGCUCAACCUCGAGACGCCGAUGGAAACCGCAUGGCUAGAGUCCGGAAGAGGAGAGUGGAAUUCCUGGUGUAGCGGUGAAAUGCGCAGAUAUCAGGAAGAACACCCGUGGCUAAGGCGGCUCUCUAGUACGGUACUGACGCUGAGACGCGAAAGCGUGGGGAGCGAACCGG